AUGGGUGGGGCAACUUUCCUUAUAACAUUAUUGCUCAUGUUUAUGAUUCUGCAGAAUUUAUUGCGGAGAGCGUUGGCAGCAUCACUAACGAAGAUGAAGAAUGUUACAUGGCAGAUAACGAGAAUUCUGACAAGGAAAGCAGAAUUAAGCGGAAGCGGAAACGCUCCCUGUUCCUGCGUUUAAGAAAAGCAUUUGGGGGGACAGCCUCCGAUGCCGAUGAUGAGCACACCUAGGAAGAGGCAGUGUCGAUGUGGCAGACCGGGGGUGCAAAGGUGAGGAGACAGAUGCGCCUGUUCUCCACAGCAUGCCCAACUUCCUUUUGGUUUUUCAGAAAGCCAGACAAAACUCUGUGUGGCCGCCCUUGUGUGUGACCACGAAGUGGAGAAAAGAGGAGGGUAUUAAUCCAUCCAGAGGAUGCCAUGAGCACACCUCCCAAGCAACACAUCCCCAUCCCAGGAGCCCCUGAGGUUGCUAGUCAGAGGGGCGCUGUAGGGCCAUCAAGUGCAUGACUCACUAGGGGCUCUUCCCAGUGUGUUCUUUUUUUUUUUUUUUUUUUUUUUUUGCUAUUUCUUGGGCCGCUCCUGCGGCAUAUGGAGGUUCCCAGGCUAGGGGUCUAAUCGGAGCCGUAGCCACCAGCCUACGCCAGAGCCACAGCAACGCAAGAUCUGAGCCACGUCUGCAACCUACACCACAGCUCACGGCAACGCCAGAUCGUUAACCCACUGAGCAAGGGCAGGGACUGAACCUGCAACCUCAUGGUUCCUAGUCAGAUUCGUUAACCACUGCGCCACGGCGGGAACUCCCCAGUGUGUUCUUUUUGAAGAGCCCCACUGGAGUGGUCCGACAUCCUCUGCAGGACCCAUCCCUGCAGUGCCAAUCCCCACCCCUCAAGUUACCAGGGAGCCUCCCCCCCAGGGAAUCA
ensembl:lncRNA